rnacentral:rRNA from 1 species
GACGAACGCUGGCGGCGCGCCUAACACAUGCAAGUCGAACGAGCGAGAGAGAGCUUGCUUUCUCAAGCGAGUUGCGAACGGGUGAGUAACGCGUGAGGAACCUGCCUCAAAGAGGGGGACAACAGUUUGAAACGACUGCUAAUACCGCAUAAGCCCACGACCCGGCAUCGGGUAGAGGGAAAAGGAGCCAUCCGCUUUGAGAUGGCCUCGCGUCCGAUUAGCUAGUUGGUGAGGUAACGGCCCACCAAGGCGACGAUCGGUAGCCGGACUGAGAGGUUGAACGGCCACAUUGGGACUGAGACACGGCCCAGACUCCUACGGGAGGCAGCAGUGGGGAAUAUUGCACAAUGGGGGAAACCCUGAUGCAGCGACGCCGCGUGGAGGAAGAAGGUCUUAGGAUUGUAAACUCCUGUUGUUGAGGAAGAUAAUGACGGUACUCAACAAGGAAGUGACGGCUAACUACGUG